CAGUGCACCUAUAAUCACAUUCACCCUGCCACAGAGUCUUGAGUGUUUAAACUGACAGUACGUGAAAUGGUUUCAACAGACUAAUUUGACAGAAUACCAAUUAAAUACCAAAAAUACAAAGCGUUUCACA